GACGAACGCUGGCGGCGUGCUUAACACAUGCAAGUCGAACGCUGAGGCCCUGCUUUUGUGGGGUGGUCGAGUGGCGAACGGGUGAGUAACACGUGAGUAACCUGCCCUUGACUUUGGGAUAACGCCCGGAAACGGGGGCUAAUACUGGAUAUUCGCUGCUCCUCGCUUGUGGGUGGGUGGAAAGGUCGUUUGUGGUGGGUGGGCUCGCGGCUUAUCAGCUUGUUGGUGGGGUGGUGGCUUACCAAGGCUUUGACGGGUAGCCGGCCUGCGAGGGUGACCGGUCACAUUGGGACUGAGAUACGGCCCAGACUCCUACGGGAGGCAGCAGUGGGGAAUAUUGCACAAUGGGCGCAAGACUGAUGCAGCGACGCAGCGUGAGGGAUGGAGGCCUUCGGGUUGUGAACCUCUUUCGCUCAUGGUCAAGCCGCAACAAUGGUUGUGGUGAGGGUAGUGGGUAAAGAAGCGCCGGCUAACUACGUG
rnacentral:rRNA from 1 species